ensembl:lncRNA
UGACAACAGCAGGCUCAUAAACAUUUUAACAGAUAAAUUAUAUCAAACAAUUAAAGCAGAAAAAAGAAGGAAUACUUCUCCCCUCAUUUUAGGAACUCAACAUUGUGCUAAUCCUAAAACUGGAUAAAGAUAAUAGAAGAAAAAAGUAUGAACAUAGAUAGAAAUUUGUUUAACAAAACAAACUAUUGGAAGUCAGAUCUGGCAGGAUGUACAAAGUAGCUUUUUUAUAAGGAUGGCAGUGUGGGUUCAGCAUUGGAAGAUCCACCCCCAAAAGUCAUCAUUUAAACAGAGGAAAGGAAAAAGCCAUAUGAUCCUGUCACUAGUUGGAGAAAAAGUAUUGGACUAAAUUCUAUAGCUGUUCAUGGUAAAAGCUAUCAGGAGACUAGAAGUAGAACAGAAACUUCUCAACAGAUUAAAGACAUGUACUCCAUACUUCCAGCAAAAAUGCCUUAUAUGAAUGGAGAAGAUACAAUGCUUUCUCCUUAAGGAGUCUGGGAUGGCAGCAGGGGAGCUUCCUUCCGGGUGCUGGGACCAGCUGAGCUUCUCUGCCCUAGGAGCUUGGGAUGGAGAGGGUCUCCAGGACCAGCAGGACUCUUGGGGACUCCAGGUGCUGCUGAGAAGUGCUCACCUCCACGAAGUCUGCCUUCGUCCUGAAGCUAAGCGAAGCUCUCCCCACACCUGCCCAGUCCUCUGUCAUUAAGGAAUCUCCAUGCAACACACAAGGCAUGUUAGCCUGGCAUUGGAGAGCUCCAGAGCCACUGGAGGUGGCUGCGCCAACCCUGGUAUGUACAACUUCGGUUCGACACUGAGCUGUUUAGACCUUCGUGGAAAUAAAACUCAGGCGGAAUGGCAUCCAGACUGGAGAGAAGCAAGCUCAAGCCAAAG